rnacentral:rRNA from 1 species
UACGGAGGGAGCUAGCGUUGUUCGGAAUUACUGGGCGUAAAGCGCACGUAGGCGGCUUUGUAAGUUAGAGGUGAAAGCCCGGGGCUCAACCCCGGAAUUGCCUUUAAGACUGCAUCGCUUGAAUCCAGGAGAGGUGAGUGGAAUUCCGAGUGUAGAGGUGAAAUUCGUAGAUAUUCGGAGGAACACCAGUGGCGAAGGCGGCUCACUGGACUGGUAUUGACGCUGAGGUGCGAAAGCCAGGGGAGCAAACGGG